rnacentral:misc_RNA from 1 species
GAACAUCUGUAACAUUUGAGGAUGAAUUCAUCUAUUCACCCAUUGCGCUGGGGACUGAUACCUGAAUUGAUGCUUCCGUCAGUCCGACUACACGUAGCCAUUGUUGGAGGGAUGGAUAUUGGCGCAUUUCAACAGGCAAUGACUCUACCGCAAGCUUGGCUUUCCUCACAAGUUGUUUGGAAUAUAAUUUAAUUAAUUUACCCUGUUACAAAAGAAAAACAAAACAAAUGAUGUUAUCAUUCAGAAACGUACGUUGAUGCCAUACAUCAGAUAUUGCGACGUGAGCC